rnacentral:rRNA from 1 species
AACGUAGGAGACAAACGUUAUCCGGAGUUACUGGGCGUAAAGGGCGUGUAGGCGGUAUGUUAAGUCUGGCGUGAAAGCUCUCGGCUAAACCGGGAGAGGUCGUUGGAUACUGGCAAACUAGAGGAUGGUAGAGGCGUGUGGAAUUCCGGGUGUAGUGGUGAAAUGCGUAGAGAUCCGGGGGAACACCAGUGGCGAAGGCGACACGCUGGGCCAUACCUGACGCUAAAGCGCGACAGCAUGGGGAGCAAACGGG